UACGUAGGGGGGCAAGCGUUGUCCGGAAUCAUUGGGCGUAAAGAGCGUGUAGGCGGCCUGGUAAGUCCGCUGUGAAAGUCCAGGGCUCAACCCUGGAAUGCCGGUGGAAACUGUCAGGCUCGAGUCCGGAAGAGGCGAGUGGAAUUCCUGGUGUAGCGGUGAAAUGCGCAGAUAUCAGGAGGAACACCGAUGGCGAAGGCAGGUCUCUGGGCAUUAACUGACGCUGAGGAGCGAAAGCAUGGGGAGCGAACAGG
rnacentral:rRNA from 1 species